rnacentral:lncRNA from 13 species
AUGCCAUGGUUAAUUCUUGUAGGAAUCCAGCUUGCAGAAGGCUCCUGUAAAUGUUCAUGUGUUGCUUUGCCUUUGGAAUUGCCAAUGGAGGAGUUUAACAAUCUUUCCUUGUUCCCAAAACUGAUGUCUCCACAAAACUCCAGUGUUACUACAGGGGAGCAUCCCUGCUUUGUGAGGUCAGAAAUCCUGCUUUCCUCUGGAGCACUGCAACUCCUUUCCAUUCGGAUUCCUGUGACUGGGAGAACUGGGAGGGAAGAGGGAUCUGAUCUGCUGCAGAUGGGCUCUGCUUGUGUGAAACUCUCCCUUUUCUGGAGCUGCUCCUGCUUCUCCAGGAUGUUCCAUGGCUUCUCCAGGACAUUCCAUGGCUUCCUGCCUGUUCCCAGUGUCUCCUGUGCUGCAACCAGGUGUAACCUUGUAGUGGGCCGGUGCCUGUCAUACUCAGAAGCUCAAGAGGGACUCGUGGAGCUUCAUUUGAAAUGGUUUUAAUGCGAAUUUCAUUCUGUGGGUUAUUAAAUUGGGUUUUCUUUUGCAGUUGUCACCUGUGGGAGAGAAAAUCCAAUUGUUGCUGUUUGCUCUGCAGGGAAAAAGUGGGAACAAUUGGGUUGUCCAUAGUUUUAGUUCUCCAUGGCCUCUUUAAGGGUGAGGAAAAGCAGUUUGGGAAAGCUUUUAGGUCUGAUUUAUUCCUGAUCUGUUCCUGUGCUUAGUGAUUGCCUUUCCAAGUUAAUUCCUUGGAAUAAAAAUCCGCCUGCUCUGAUCCAGAGCCACCCUGGCUGGGAUGGAGGAGGAGAUGGGUUUGGAGGGAGCUGGGAAGCUUCAGGAAGCUUCCCCAGUCCUGCAGAGUGGGAUUUGUCAGGAGCUGAAGGUGCCCAGAGCUCCACAGGAUCUGCAGGUGCAGCUGUGGGGCUCCAGGUGGGAAUGUUGGUGUGGAGCAGCCCUGUGGCUGCUGUUUCCAUCGCCUCUGGAAGCAGUGAGCCCUGGGAAGUGCUCCCAAAGCUGAGGCACCCUGGGAAAAGCAUUGGAAAUGGAAGAGCUCCUGUUCAGGCACUGCUGCCCUUCAGCUCCUGGCAGGCCUGGGCAGCCUCAGACCCCAAAGGAAUUUCCUGGCUGGAUAGUCAGGGGUGACCAGGAGAAUUCCAAAUGUGUUUUCCUCUGCUCCCCGUCCCCUCUGCUCUGUGCUCAGGGCUGGGGUUGUUUUUAUAGGGACCUAUCCUGGCUAUUCCUGGUUUCCAUCCAUCCCUCACGCACAUCCAGGCAUUCCCUGGGGGAAGAACCUGCUCCAAGUGUCCUAUUUAUGUUUUAAUUAGCAGUCCACGCUUGAUUAAUUAGCUGAGGAAGCAGGGGAUGUUCAAGCCUGUGUUUGGGGCCAGGCAGGCAGGUGGGCCAUUCGUUAGGGCAGGUUUGCUAAUGACAUUAAUUAAUGCGUCCUGCUGGGAGCUGCAGGAGCAGGGCAGGGCCAAGGGGUUGUUUUUCUCUCAUUUCUCUGUAUUUCCAUCUAGUUCAUGUAGCAGAAACUACUGGAGUAACUCAGCACUGGAUCCCAUCCUCCAGCUGGAUUUUCCUUGUCAUCCCCAAGCUGAUCCUUGUAGGAAUGUCCCUAAAACCGUGUGUAGUGCUGGCUGGGAAUGUCCCUGUUGCUGUUUUUGUCUGUGUCACUGGUGAGGGACAUUUGUGGGGGAUGAAGCCCCGUUUGGAACGUGCCCCUGAGGGGCAGUUCAGUCCCUGCACUGCUUGAACCCUGUCUUGUCUAGAGGAGAAUUGUGUCUGUUCUCUGUGUUUGUCCCACGGAGUCUCACUUGGAUUGCAGGUAUUUUUAUUCCCUACACCAAUAAACCCCUUGCCUUUUUAAAGGAACUGGCUGCUCUGUUUAUUGGGAAUUAACUCAGAAAAACUUGGAAAGGUGAAGUCAGUGAAAGGAUAUUAAUUAAUAAAGUGAGUCUGGAGCCACUUCCCCUCCACAGCACAGAAAUGGGGUGAUACCUUUGGUUUGGAGGGGUGCAGGGUCUUAAAAACAACCCAAAAAGGCACAUAACCAAUGGAAAAAAAGGAAUAUAACUACGGGGGGAAAAAGGAAUCUAACCCAUGGAAAAAAGGAAUCUAACCAAUGGAACUCUGUUAAAUCUUGGUGUCUUCUGCAAACUGUGCUGCUCUGGAAGGGGUUUUAUUUAGAUUUUCCGUUCUGUAUUAAACCCAAGUAUCUCCUCAGUGUUUCCUUGCUCCUGGAGAGCUGUCUGUCCCUCACUCACCUGGCCACAGCUGUCUCCAGGCUGGCUUCCAAAGCUUUCUGAGGAGCAACCAGAGCUUCUGGAAGGAGCUGAGUCCAACCUUUGUGAGUCCAGUGAAGAGGUUUUUUUCUGAUGGGUUCAGAGUGAAGAACCCACAGCCCAACUGCUGAUGGUGUCCUGGAAAAAUCCUCCUUUAUCCCAUUCUUUUUCAUCAUGGAUAGAGAGGUGUUACAUUUUUGAAGUGCAGACAAACUCAGCUGAGAUGGGAAGAUGCUCAGGAGGGAGAUUCCAGGUACAAAACUUCCCUGUGAAUGCUAGGAACAGACUCCAGACCCAUUAGCCGGCCCCUGAUGAAGAUUUUCCACCUUAAAAAUGGGUAUUUUCUAUGCUUGAAGGCAAUAAAAUGGGCCUGGCACUGGGGUAUCCUCAGUCCCUGGGUGUUUCACAGGCUUCUUGCUAAUUUUAAAUGUUCUUAGUGCUGCCAGUGAAAUCCUUCAUUUACUCAAUUAGACUCGCCUUGCAUUUAAUUGGAUUAUUAGCAUUAACACUGGCUAGGAUUGAUAAAACUGCAAUUUAAUUUGAGGGGAAUUUAGACAAAAGGUGUGGUACUUGGAGUUUCUCCUGCCUGCAAGCAGCUCAUGGAUUCCGGUGUUCUCCUGGAAUUUGUGUUUUCCUUCCCUUUGGGGGCAUGGAGAGGAUGGGGGGAUACAAAACCUUUCUCUCAACAACAGAUCUUGGAGCUGUGGCAGAGAGGGAAGGGAUCCAGUGUGAAUGGAAUUGAUAAAAAUCUAUAAAUAACCAAAAACCCCAGGGAUGGACCUGCAGAGUUAUGGGAUGCUGCUCCUGGAUCCCUGAAAGUGUCCCAGGCCAGGCUGGAUGGGGCUUGGAGCAGCCUGGGAUAGUGGGAGGUGUCCCUGCCCGUGGCAGGGGGUGGGAGAGGAGGGAUUUUAAGGUUCCUCCCAACCCACACCAUCCUUUUAUCCCGUUUUCCAAAAGGGAAGGGGCUCCCCGAAGGCAGUGGAAGCAGAGAGCUGAACUCCUGUGGGUUCCAAUACUGCCAAAAUUCCUCAAGGAAUGACUCAUGGAGGAGAAGAAACAGUGCUGGAUUCCUCCUUCCUUCCUAAGCCCGUCUUUCGAGGGUUGAUUCCCCAGACAAAUUGGGAAUUCCCAUCAGCACGGCCCUGGGAGGGACGUGCGGUGCAGCCAAGGGAUGCUGAGCUGCCGUCCCUGCCCUCUCCUGGGUGAUUCCUGGAUAACACCUGGAUCCCGGUGCUGCUGGAGCCACUCCACGCUGCGUGGUGAGCAGGGAGAACCCCCAGGGCUGCGUUUUGGAAUGCUGGGAGCAGAUGGGAUGGCACAGAGGGCAAUUCCAGAGCGCAGAGCUGUGCUGGGGCAGUGACUCCCGGCCCAAAGGCAGGAGGCACAACAGCCCCACUCCCCAGAUCUGCUUUCCCGACCUUGAGCACUGUUAGUAAAUCCCUAAUCCCUGCAAAAUCAUUUAUUUGGGACUGUUUGGCUCGAAACUUUUAAGUGCUUAGCACUGCUAAAUCCACAAGCUCAUUAGCUCCCUUCAGCUGCGUUAAUAACGAUAAUCUCUUUAAUGGAAGCAACUUUGGGCAGGAUUUACCUUCCCAAAAAACCUCAUUGACUGGCAUUAAAUACCCUUCUGCCCUCUAAUUCUUCCCCAAUUAACAGGGAGCUGAUCAGGAGCUGCUUCCUCCAGAGCAGAGGCCGGGUCAGUCCCUGGCUCGGGCCCUGAGCUCAGGCAGAAGGUGGAAGCUUUUCCCAACUCCUCGUCCUUCCCUGGAGUUCGAAGCAUUGGGAAGCUUAUCCCAAACGGGUCAGGCUGGUCUGCCACCGCUCCCUGGGCUCCUGGUGGGGUUCAUCUGGCUCUGCUGCUGGAAAUGCCCCAACGGGACGUAAGGAACAGGCUCCUGCAGCGGGAGCUCCGGGAGCGUGUCCCUGUGGGAUUCCAGCGGGGGGGUUCUCGGGUUCGCCUUGUUAGGACUGGGUUUAAUCUGCUCCUCACCACAGAGCUGCUCUUGUUCCUAAGAUCUUCCUUGGUUAACAACUAAGCAGCAGCAGCAACAACAAAAGAAUAAGCAGUUUAUCAUUAAUUUGCCAUCCAAGGAUUUCCCUUUCAUCUCCAAGUUUCCUACAUUUCACAUUUUCUAACACUUCUGUUGUCUGCAUUCCCUUUUUUCCCUUUGUACCACUCUUUCUUUUUAAUGGCUGCUUUGAUUUCUGUGUUUCGUGGAAGGGCUUUCCAGCCAGGCUUGGCUUUUGCAGCUGCAGCACCCCCGUUGUGGUCGCAGCUUCCUGACUCUCAGUGAAAAUAACCCCGAACUCCCCACUCCUGCUCCAGGGUUCAUCCACCUCCACUGUUCCAUUCCUGCUGCUGCCUUUGGGGAACUGACCUUUGUGAAGCAAUAAUCUCUUUUUGACUGAAUUUGGAGAGGGAAACUCUGAGCAAGUCAAAAGUCAAAACCCAAUCAAUAUUGACCAUUUUCCUGCAUUCCAGGCUUUCCAUGGGGAGGCUCCAACCCAGGACUGUGCUGGUGACACAGGGACAGCACACGUUUCACAGAGCACCCUGAUCUCACUUCUCGCAGCAGUGGGGAUUUUCCUGCUGGAUAAUUUGGGUCUCUGUUGUUAUCUCUUACCAUGAUAAGGCUGUCUCAAACCGCCAGCCCAUUCCUGCUCCACCACCGAGGAGUUUGGAAAGGUUUAAAGGGAGCUGGAUAAAAUAGGAUUGCACUUCCCAGCUGACAGCUUUUGAUAAGGCCCCGGUGCUGCUCCCCACUCCUUUUGUUUGCCCUGGGAGGUUUCCUGCCUGCCUGGGUCCUGUUUAGCUCUGGGAAGCCUGGCUGUGGUUCCUCCUGGCAGGUGCAGCCGAGAGCUGCUCAGGGGGGAAAUCCAGACCAUCUUCAGAACCUUUUGUCCUUCUGGUGUUUAAUAAAUGAUUUCAGAGGUUGCAAAUGGCCAUUUGUGUCACUCUGAAAAGGGGAAGGAGCGCAGGAGAGGGGUUGAGAGGGAAUUUGAGUGCCUGGCAGCAGCCAAGGUGAGGUAGAGGCCGGUGCUGCCCUGGCAGGGACCCCAAACAGCCCCGUUCCCUGCGAUUUCUGCGAGGAAACAGUGGAGA